GGCGGCGUAGCUCAGUUGGUUAGAGCAGCGGAAUCAUAAUCCGAAGGUCGAAGGUUCGAGUCCUUCCGCCGCUA
rnacentral:tRNA from 1 species